AGCAGUUGGUCGAUCUGCACUAUCAUAGUUUGAGUCAUUUGAUUUGUGUUUUAAAUCUGAUCUGGCAUUUAGAUCAUUGCUGGAUAUCUAACAUUAAUUCCAUAGUGUUUUGUUCAAUUUUUNUUUGUUGUUUUGGAGUCUAAUUCAGUGCUUAGAUUCCAUUUGAUUCAGUGUGCUCGAAAUUAGUUGCUUGCAUUGGUGUUAAAAAGAGAACUCAAUCAGUGAAUUUUUGAAAUACUGAUAUUUGGUAUCAAUUGGCAGCACAUACAAGUUUAUAUCCCUCAUUUGGACUUGCUCGUGUUGUAAAAUUUGAGUGUUUACCAAUCUGGUGCAGAUUUCCCUUUCAAUCCAUAAUUUCAGCACUUAAAAAAAAGGUUUAAACCAUUUAGUUGUCCCUAUUUUUGGGAGGUUUUCCCAUUUUGAUCCCCGUCUUAUUAGAAUCCCCAAUUGAGUCCCUAUAAAUGCUAAUUUCAAUCAAUUAAGCCCCUGCCGUUAAAUUUAGGUAACGGGGUUAACUUUUUUGCACAGCUGGAAGGAUGACCUGUUAAUUUCUGUAAACGUGACCUAUUUAGAGUUGAAACGUGGCAUUAAUUAGAGUUGAAAUUGAUUGAAAUUAGCACUUAUGAGACUCAAUUCAUGCCACUUUUCAACUCUAAAUAGGCCACAUUUAUAGAAAUUAACAGGUCAUCCUCCCAGCUGUGCAAAAAAGUUAAUCUCGUUAACUAAAUUUAACGGCAGAGGCUUAAUUCAUUGAAAUUAACACGUGUAGGGACUCAAUUGGGGAUUCGAAUAAGACGGGGAUCAAAAUGGGAAAACCUUCCGAAAAUAGGGACAACUAAAUGGAUUAAACCUAAAAAAAAUUCUUUCUGAUACAAGUUGUUUUCCUUUGUUAAGGCAUAUGUGAUUACUAAUUCUGUGUAUCUUUAAUUGAAUGAGAAUUGGCAGCAAAAGCAUGGUUUAAUUGCAAUAUAAGAUCUGCUCAACAGUAAAAAGAAAUUCAUAAGCAGAAAUAAAAAGUUGAAUCAAAACCGUGCCAGUUCUGGUUUAGUUAAUGUACCAAUUUCAGUAGAAAUAAAUCAGGCAUUUUAACAAACAGUUUUGCCUAAUUGCCAUUUGAUCUUGAAUUGAUCUUAAGCAACUUGUAAAUGUUUCUUGAUUUCUUAAUCCUCUCUAGAGCUAAUCUUAGGUUCAUUUUGAGUACUUUCCUUUUUGAUAGCUUGGUUUCUUGCUUGUCUUUGUUGAAAUUCUGGUUGUGUCUACAUCAUUUGUGUACUUAGUUCUGCUGUUCAUAAUUGAAUCCUUUUGUUGGUUUCUUAAUUUGAUCUUGAGUCAGCUGUUUUGUCACUCAUUGCCUUGUGCUUAACUGUUGAGUAAUUUGUUCUGUCUCUGCCCACCAUCUUGUUUAGCCU
rnacentral:lncRNA from 1 species